UUAGGUAGCGCCUCGUGAAUUCAUCUCCGGGGGUAGAGCACUGUUUCGGCAAGGGGGUCAUCCCGACUUACCAACCCGAUGCAAACUGCGAAUACCGGAGAAUGUUAUCACGGGAGACACACGGCGGGUGCUAACGUCCGUCGUGAAGAGGGAAACAACCCAGACCGCCAGCUAAGGUCCCAAAGUCAUGGUUAAGUGGGAAACGAUGUGGGAAGGCCCAGACAGCCAGGAUGUUGGCUUAGAAGCAGCCAUCAUUUAAAGAAAGCGUAAUAGCUCACUGGUCGAGUCGGCCUGCGCGGAAGAUGUAACGGGGCUAAACCAUGCACCGAAGCUGCGGCAGCGACGCUUAUGCGUUGUUGGGUAGGGGAGCGUUCUGUAAGCCUGUGAAGGUGUACUGUGAGGUAUGCUGGAGGUAUCAGAAGUGCGAAUGCUGACAUAAGUAACGAUAAAGCGGGUGAAAAGCCCGCUCGCCGGAAGACCAAGGGUUCCUGUCCAACGUUAAUCGGGGCAGGGUGAGUCGACCCCUAAGGCGAGGCCGAAAGGCGUAGUCGAUGGGAAACAGGUUAAUAUUCCUGUACUUGGUGUUACUGCGAAGGGGGGACGGAGAAGGCUAUGUUGGCCGGGCGACGGUUGUCCCGGUUUAAGCGUGUAGGCUGGUUUUCCAGGCAAAUCCGGAAAAUCAAGGCUGAGGCGUGAUGACGAGGCACUACGGUGCUGAAGCAACAAAUGCCCUGCUUCCAGGAAAAGCCUCUAAGCAUCAGGUAACAUCAAAUCGUACCCCAAACCGACACAGGUGGUCAGGUAGAGAAUACCAAGGCGCUUGAGAGAACUCGGGUGAAGGAACUAGGCAAAAUGGUGCCGUAACUUCGGGAGAAGGCACGCUGAUAUGUAGGUGAAGCGACUUGCUCGUGGAGCUGAAAUCAGUCGAAGAUACCAGCUGGCUGCAACUGUUUAUUAAAAACACAGCACUGUGCAAACACGAAAGUGGACGUAUACGGUGUGACGCCUGCCCGGUGCCGGAAGGUUAAUUGAUGGGGUUAGCGGUAACGCGAAGCUCUUGAUCGAAGCCCCGGUAAACGGCGGCCGUAACUAUAACGGUCCUAAGGUAGCGAAAUUCCUUGUCGGGUAAGUUCCGACCUGCACGAAUGGCGUAAUGAUGGCCAGGCUGUCUCCACCCGAGACUCAGUGAAAUUGAACUCGCUGUGAAGAUGCAGUGUACCCGCGGCAAGACGGAAAGACCCCGUGAACCUUUACUAUAGCUUGACACUGAACAUUGAGCCUUGAUGUGUAGGAUAGGUGGGAGGCUUUGAAGUGUGGACGCCAGUCUGCAUGGAGCCGACCUUGAAAUACCACCCUUUAAUGUUU
rnacentral:rRNA from 1 species